AACGUAGGAGCCAAGCGUUAUCCGAAUUCACUGGGCGUAAAGCGCGUGCAGGCGGCCUGGUAAGUUGGAUGUGAAAGCUCCUGGCUCAACUGGGAGAGGACGUUCAAUACUGUCAGGCUCGAGGGCAGCAGAGGGAGGUGGAAUUCCCGGUGUAGUGGUGAAAUGCGUAGAUAUCGGGAGGAACACCAGUGGCGAAGGCGACCUCCUGGGCUGCACCUGACGCUCAGAUGCGAAAGCUAGGGGAGCGAACGGG
rnacentral:rRNA from 1 species